GUGCUCAGAAAUAAAACCCUGAGGGAAAAGAACUGGUGAGGCGUCUGUCAAUCCUAGGGAAAGGGUCUCUGCUCUUUGUGAAAAAGCAAGUCAAGAUGGCAACUGAGGAUUGCAGCUAAACUGAAAGCUGGAGGUGGAGAUUAGAACUACCCAGUGAGGAGCAAGCCUGGGUGGUCCAGGGGAGGCCAUUGUGGAACCACCCAGAUACCAUAGGAAGAGGAACUCUGCAGCAGUAGCGACAUAGAGAAACUGAGACCCAGGAAAUUAAGUGAUGUGCCCACUGGCACCCAAAUAGUAACAGAGAUGGCUCCGACUGAACAUUCUUUCAGCAAUAAUGCUAAUACCACCAAAGACUUGAGAAAAAUCUUGCUCAAUUCUUCCUCCCACCCUGUCUGCAAUGAUUUCCCUACGUGAGCUACCAAGAAUAAAAUAUUAACC